GCCGAGGUAGCUCAGUUGGUAGAGCGCCGUGCUGUUAACACGGUGGUCGGAGGUUCGAGUCCUCCCCUCGGCG
rnacentral:tRNA from 2 species